rnacentral:rRNA from 1 species
UACGAAGGGGGCUAGCGUUGCUCGGAAUUACUGGGCGUAAAGCGCACGUAGGCGGCUUCUUAAGUCGGUGGUGAAAUCCUGGAGCUCAACUCCAGAACUGCCUUCGAUACUGGGAAGCUCGAGUCCGGGAGAGGUGAGUGGAACUGCGAGUGUAGAGGUGAAAUUCGUAGAUAUCAGGAAGAACACCAAUGGCGAAAGCAGCUCUCUGGGACGGUACUGACGCUGAGACGCGAAAGCGUGGGGAGCGAACAGG